rnacentral:rRNA from 1 species
UACGGAGGGGGCUAGCGUUGUUCGGAAUUACUGGGCGUAAAGCGCGCGUAGGCGGCUUUGUAAGUUAGAGGUGAAAGCCCGGAGCUCAACUCCGGAACUGCCUUUAAGACUGCAUCGCUAGAAUUGUGGAGAGGUAAGUGGAAUUCCGAGUGUAGAGGUGAAAUUCGUAGAUAUUCGGAAGAACACCAGUGGCGAAGGCGACUUACUGGACACAUAUUGACGCUGAGGUGCGAAAGCGUGGGGAGCAAACAGG